UAUCCGGUUGGAAAUACGAAAACUUCCUGUGAACUUCCUGGUUUUGUUUGCAUAGUGGCUAACUUUGCUAGCUAUGUCAUUUCCAACUAUUUAAAACGCUCUUUGUAUGUCCGUGAGUCAAACGGUGUUGGAAACGUUAAAACGCACUCUCUCAUCGACAAGACCUGCAAUGGCUUGCUCUUAGUCAUGCAAGUAACGUUAGUUGAAAUGUAGUAACUGUUAGCUAACGGCUAACUUGACAGCUAAUGUAGCUAGGAUAGGAAUAGGAUGUGCUGUUAGGAAGUUAGCCAGCCAACACUGAUUAUGUUUCUGCUUAUUCGUCUGUUAUGCUUCUACUUGUUUUAAAUAACUUCUGCGCUAUGGACACCGAGGGAAUAGAGAUCCGUAUAAAGACUCCCGUCGGGGAUAUGGACUCAUCCGUGGACUGCCCAUCACUUUUGAGCUUCAAUGACUUGUUGGUCGCUAUAAGGGAUGUCAUGCCCGAAACCACAAUCACUGCGUUUGAAUAUGAGGAUGAGGUGGGUGAUAGAAUCACUGUGAGGAGUGAUGAAGAACUCAAAGCCAUGUUGUCAUAUUACUGCAAUAAUGUGAAGGAGCAGCGGAUGAAUGGCCUACUGCCUGAGCCUCUCCAGAUAUUUCCUCGAGCCGGCAAGACUCCAGGGAUCCGGAACAUACAUGGCCUGAAGGUGAACACGAGGCCCAAUGACUGUUCCCCCGCCGCCGUUGGCUCUAUGCCCAACAAUAGUUCCAGUCUAAAGAAGUCAUCCGCAGAGCUAAAGAAGAUUUUGACGAAUGGACAGAUCAAUGGCCAAGACAUACAAUACCAGGAGCAGCUUGGCCAUGGAAACGGAGGGACCGUGUACAAAGCGUACCAUCUUCUCGGCAACAGAGUGUUGGCGGUGAAGGUCAUUCCUCUGGACAUCACAGUGGAGCUACAGAAACAGAUCAUGUCUGAGUUGGAGAUCCUCUACAAGUGUGAUUCCUCCUACAUUAUAACCUUCUACAGUGCCUUCUUUGUAGAGAACAGGAUCUCCAUAUGCACAGAGUAUAUGGACGGUGGCUCUCUGGACGUAUACAGGAAGAUCCCAGAACAUGUGUUGGGUAGGAUCUCUGUGGCGGUAGUGAAAGGCCUAACCUAUCUAUGGAGCCUGAAGAUUCUUCACAGAGACGUCAAGCCUUCCAACAUGCUGGUCAACACUAGAGGUCAAGUGAAGCUCUGUGACUUUGGAGUCAGCACGCAGUUGGUGAAUUCCAUCGCCAAGACGUAUGUGGGAACUAACGCCUACAUGGCACCGGAGAGGAUAUCUGGGGAGCAGUAUGGCAUCCAUUCAGACGUCUGGAGCGUGGGCAUCUCCUUCAUGGAGGUGACUGCAGAGUGCAGUUGGCACUGGGCGCUUUCCCCUAUCCACAGAUUCAGAAAAACCAAGGAUCUUUAAUGCCUCUCCAGUUACUGCAAUGCAUCGUUGAUGAGGACCCUCCUAUUCUUCCUGUGGGUCAGUUCAGCCAGAAGUUUGUCCACUUCAUCACACAGUGCAUGAAGAGACUCCCUAAAGAGAGACCUGCUCCCAACAACCUUAUGGACCAUGCCUUCAUCCUGCUCUACGACGAUGGCAAUGCGGAGGUGGUGUCCAUGUGGGUGUGUCGCUGCCUAGAGGAGAGGAGAGCCCAGGCUCAGGGACAGAUGUGACCCCGUAAACACAGGAGACCACAGAGAAGUUAGCGGUCAAAGGUAUCAUGUAGGGCCAGGAUAAUACCAGUAUCUCUAUACUCGUUAAUAUCGUGGCAAAGAAACAAAACACGAAGCGCUUUUAACUUCGUUAGGAAAACUGCCCUAAUGUUGGAAACAAAAUAUCAUUAUGAUGUCACCCAGAGUCACAUUUAUUUAUUUUCUAUCUAUAGCUCACAAUAUUUUACAUACAGCAGGUGUUUAAAGGACUAAAGCGUUUGGUCUGCUUUGUGUUUUCAUUUUUGCCAUAGAAACAAUAUUGUGAUACUGGUAUCGUCCUGGCCCUAAUAUCAUGCCCCAAUCUCUCUGGACUUUGACCAUUCGUGAACCCCAGGAGUGGACAGUAAAUAUCAAAGACACGGAUUCUAAAACGUAUUGAUGACGUCCAUGGUGUAAAGAGGGCGUCUGUACGUCCAACUUCAGUAAGCCAAGAGGAUACUGUAUAUUUUCAACUGAAAGUUCAUUGCAAGUGGAACUUUGUUAUCUGGGCCCUUAGCACGUUGACUGAUGUCUUGAUGGUGUAUCCUGGACUCUUACACUCCAAACCUGGCUCUGUGUUGACGCUGCUUCAUCAAUGAAUUUACAAUUGAGUGGGACUUAUUCCGUGACUGUUUGCCUACUUAGUUAUUUCUAACUCAGAGAGACUUUAGACAGAAUGUCAGAGUAAGUGAUCAACGAUGAGAUGGGACUUGAAAACCCAAAUGGCUUUACAAUAACAAAGAAGUGCUAUUUUCCAGGAUGACGCUCGGAUAACCUGUUACGCUUUAUUGUUGGUCGCUUUCUAGUGAAUGUCGAGGUGUGCCGGUGUGUACGGCAGUAACCGUGUGUGUGCCUAAUGUUUUUACAAUGACGUUUCUUUGACAUUACUUUACCUCAUCGAGAUACACUAUAUAUACGAAAGUAUGUGGACAGCACUUCAAAUUAGUGGAAUUGGCUAUUUCAGCCAUACCCGUUGCAGACCGGUGUAGAAAAUCGAGCACACAGCCAUGCAAUCGCCAUAGACAAACAUUGGCAAUAGAAUGGCCUUACAGAAGAGCUCAGUGAAUUUCAACAUGGCACUGUCAUAGGAUGCCACCUUUCCAACAAGGCAGUUCGUCAAAUUUCUGCCCUGCUAGAGCUGCCCUGGUCAACUGUAAGUGCUGUUAUUGUGAAGUGGAAACGUCUAGGAGCAACAACGGCUCAGCAGCAAAGUGGUAGGCAACACAAGUUCACAAAAUGGGACCACCAAGUGCUGAAGCACGUAGUGUAAAAAUCGUCUGUCCUCAAUUGCAACACUCCCUGCCGAGUUCCAAACUGCCUCUGGAAGCAACAUCAGCACAAUAACUGUUUGUCGCGAGCUUCAUGAAAUUGGUUUCCAUGGUCAAGCAGCCAUACACAAGCGUCGGCUGGUGUAGUGUAAAGCUUGCCGCCAUUGGACUCUGGAGCAGUGGAAACGCGUUCUCUGGAGUGAUGAAUCACACUUCACCAUCUGGCAGUCCGACAGACAAAUCUGGGUUUGGCGGAUGCCAGGAGGACGCUACCUGCCCCAAUGCAUAGUGUCAACUGUAAAGUUUGGUGGAGGAAUAAUGGUAUGGGGCUGUUUUUCAUGGUUCGGGCUAUGCCCCUUAGUUCCAGGGAAGGGAAAUCUUA